CAGAGAAUGGUCUCACUCGCCAGUACCAGUGAACUCCAAGAUAACUUGCACAAUCUUCCUAGCAAGGCCCGUCCUUCUCAGCAACACGCUUCAGGUAUACGGCUACGUGAAGGCGGACGGCUGCUCUCAGACCACGGCAGAGUGGAGAGGAGAAAAUAAAAAAAGCAGUCAACAACUGGGUAUGUGGCAUCGGAGCCUAAGAAACAACAGAACUUCAG